GGGGAGAUUAAGCAGAGAAGGCUAUCUUCAGGAACUUUCCUCCGAAACUGGGAGCACGCACAUUCCUGGGAGCUGCUACCAUUGCAGUUUAUUUGGAAAUUUCCCUGCACAAACUCUCUUCUCUUGUCUGCUGCCAUGUGAGACGUGCCUUUCACCUUCAGCCAUGAUUGUGAGGCCUCCCCAGCCACGUGGAACUGGUUUCACUUCCAUCGCCCAGGCUGGAGUGCAAUGGCGUGAUCUGGGCUCACUGCAACCUCCACCUCCCAGGCUCAAAUGAUUCUCCUGCCUCAGCCUCCUGAGUAGAGUAGCUGGGACCACAGUCGCAUGCCAUGGUGCUCGGCUAAUUUUUUUGUAUUUUAUUUUUGUAACGACAGGGUCUCAUUAUGUUGCCCAGGCUGGUGUCAAACUUCUGAGCUCAAAUGAUCUGCCUGCGUCAGCCUCCCAAAGUGCUGGGAUUAUAGGCAUGGGCCACUGUGCCUGGCCUCAUCUUGUCAUUUUAAAGAAUAUAUCAGCAGGGAUUAUUGGACCUGCCUGGUUUAAACUAUUGUCU
rnacentral:lncRNA from 1 species